UCUAGCCAAAAGCAUUCCCGUGCCUUGUCAGUCCUGGGAGGAGUACGGGGAGGAGGUGGAGCUGGGGGUCCUGCAAGCAGGGACUAGAGAUUCAGCCUGGGCAGCAGCCAGGGGAGACCAGGAGCUGGGGUUGAAGAGCAUGAGGCCACACUUUUCCCUACAUAUGACGCAGCUGGUGCAUUUGGCCUGCGCAAGGGGAGAUGUGGGUGACGGGCUGGGAGUUGAGCUGUAGAAAGGAGAGUGGCUGCCUUACAGGGACAGCUAAAGAGUAUGCAGGACUGUAGGCAGAGAACUAGAUCCCUGGGAAGGAAAUGAAGGCUUCUAACGGGCAUCGUCAGGACCGGGGCCAUUGAAUCUACUGACUUCCCCUUGGCCAAGAGCAUAGGACAAACAUGAUCCAGGGACCCCUAUGGAAGGUUUACUCAGCUGGCCCCCACCAGUCAUCAGCCUCCUGGGGCCAGAGAGAUGGCUCAGAAGUCAAAAGCACUGGCUGUUCUUCUUGAAGAUGGUGUUUGAUCCCAAGCACCCAAGAUUUCGCAUUAAUCACGUGAAACUCCAGUUCCAGGGGAUCUGAUGCCCUCUCCUGGCCUUCUCCAGUACUACAAGUGGUGCAGAAAAAAACACCCACAUGCACAAAUGGUAAGAAAAGACAGCUUCCUCCUCAGUUCUUAUCCAUGUGUGCCACCACCUUCCCAGUUGUGCUAAGCAUAGGGGACAGUGUGCAGCAUAGUAGAAAUGUCGUCUUUAGCGAAGCCGGUGCAGAUGUGACCAAAGCGAAGUGCUCAGCCCUCAAAGGUCUUUGGGGCCUAGAAAACUCGCUGAAACACGACUGUGCUUUGCAUCCUAGCUCUGUCGCCUGCAGACCAUGAGCAGUCAAAUUGCUUAACUUUUGACCUGUUUCCACAUCUAAGAACUAGAUAAUUCUAGCUUGUGUCAAACUGAAGCAAGCAAGCAAACAAACAAAAACCCCACAAAACCCAGGACAUGGAUCUUGUGGAGUCUGAAGAGAACCGAAGUUGGGAACACAGACCUGGCAGCAUCGCAUCCAUCUGGACAGAACCCAGCUUGGCUCUGCUACUCAGCUACACGAGCAUCUCCAGGAGCAACAUUCUCCUCAUCUGCAGCUCCCACUGCACGUGCUGCCAACACUCCUUCUCCAGCGCUAUGUCUGCCUGCGUGGUGCCAUGCUCCCUCCAUGAUGAUAAUGGACUGAACCUCUGAAGUAAGUGUAGUGGGAUUGUGUGCAGUGCGGCAUUCUGCAAGCAGGUGCAUCUGUGCCCCUAAAGCUAUACCCAAGCAAAUGGAAAUGUUACGUUUAUGUCCCAGUUGGAAUCUGGAGAAAGCCUUUGACUAAGGCAACCCAACACAGCAGUGCGGUGUCUCUGGGCUCUUGUUUCCUGAGAGAAACUGACAACCAGAGUCCUUCACAGUCUUUUGUUUUCUUUUUCAGUUUAAUUUUUUAUUUUAUGUGUAUGGGUGUUGUGCUUGGGUGUAUGUCUGUGCACCUCUUGUGUGCCUGUGGGGGACAGGGGUAGGCUUCGGAUGUCCUGAGACUGCAGUUACAGAUCGCUGUGAGCUGCCAUGUGGGUUCCAGGGAGAGCAGCCACUGCUCCUAACUGUUGAAGCAAGUUUCCAGCCCCGUAGCCAUGGACUUUAGACUUUACUGCCUCACCACACUCUUCUUCUCCCCCCCCCCUCCCGGCCCCAGUACUCCCCUCUUCC
rnacentral:lncRNA from 1 species